rnacentral:rRNA from 1 species
AGCAGCCGCGGUAAUUCCAGCUCCAAUAGCGUAUAUUAAAGUUGUUGCAGUUAAAAAGCUCGUAGUUGAACCUUGGGCCUGGCUGGCCGGUCCGCCUCACCGCGUGUACUGGUCCGGCCGGGUCUUUCCCUCUGUGGAACCCCAUGCCCUUCACUGGGUGUGGCGGGGAAACAGGACUUUUACUUUGAAAAAAUUAUAGUGCUCCAGGCAGGCCUAUGCUCUAAUACAUUAUCAUGGAAUAAUGAAAUAGGACGUGCGGUUCUAUUUUGUUGGUUUCUAGGACCGCCGUAAUGAUUAAUAGGGACAGUCGGGGGCAUCAGUAUUCAAUUGUCAGAAGUGAAAUUCUUGGAUUUAUUGAAGACUAACUACUGCGAAAGCAUUUGCCAAGGAUGUUUUCAUUAAUCAGGGAACGAAAGUUAGGGGAUCGAAGACGAUCAGAUACCGUCGUAUCUUAACCAUAAACUAUGCCGACUAGGGAUCGGAUGAUGUUAAUUUUAUAAUGACUCA